UUCGCCUUCAUGAAGCCGGAAUUGCUAGUAAUGGCAGGUCAGCAUACUGCCGUGAAUACGUUCCCGGGCCUUGUACACACCGCCCGUCACACCAUGAGAGUUGGGGAUACCCGAAGCCUGUGAGCCAACAGUUUACUGAGGCAGCAGUCGAAGGUAGAAUCAAUGAUUGGGGUGAAGUCGUAACAAGGUAAC
rnacentral:rRNA from 1 species